GAUGAAGAACGUAGCGAAAUGCGUUAAGUAGUGUGAAUUGCAGAAUUCAGUGAAUCAUCGAAUCUUUGAACGCACAUUGCGCCCUUUGGUAUUCCAAAGGGCAUGCCUGUUCGAGCGUCAUUUGUACCCUCAAGCUUUGCUUGGCGUUGGGCGUCUUGUCUCUAGCUUUGCUGGAGACUCGCCUUAAAGUAAUUGGCAGCCGGCCUACUGGUUUCGGAGCGCAGCACAAGUCGCACUCUCUAUCAGCAAAGGUCUAGCAUCCAUUAAGCCUUUUUUUCAACUUUUGACCUCGGAUCAGGUAGGGAUACCCGCUGAACUUAAGCAUAUCAAUAAGCGGAGGA
rnacentral:misc_RNA from 1 species